rnacentral:rRNA from 1 species
UGGGGAAUAUUGGACAAUGGGCGCAAGCCUGAUCCAGCAAUGCCGCGUGAGUGAUGAAGGCCUUAGGGUUGUAAAGCUCUUUCGCACGCGACGAUGAUGACGGUAGCGUGAGAAGAAGCCCCGGCUAACUUCGUGCCAGCAGCCGCGGUAAUACGAAGGGGGCUAGCGUUGUUCGGAAUUACUGGGCGUAAAGGGCGCGUAGGCGGCCUGUUUAGUCAGAAGUGAAAGCCCCGGGCUCAACCUGGGAAUAGCUUUUGAUACUGGCAGGCUUGAGUUCCGGAGAGGAUGGUGGAAUUCCCAGUGUAGAGGUGAAAUUCGUAGAUAUUGGGAAGAACACCGGUGGCGAAGGCGGCCAUCUGGACGGACACUGACGCUGAGGCGCGAAAGCGUGGGGAGCAAACAGGAUUAGAUACCCUGGUAGUCCACGCCGUAAACGACGAAUGCUAGACGUCGGGGUGCAUNCAGCUUCGGUGUCGCCGCUAACGCAUUAAGCAUUCCGCCUGGGGAGUACGGCCGCAAGGUUAAAACUU